rnacentral:rRNA from 1 species
AACGAACGCUGGCGGCAUGCCUAACACAUGCAAGUCGAACGAGACCUUCGGGUCUAGUGGCGCACGGGUGCGUAACGCGUGGGAACCUGCCCUUAGGUUCGGAAUAACUCCCUGAAAGGGGUGCUAAUACCGGAUAAUGUCUUCGGACCAAAGAUUUAUCGCCUUUGGAUGGGCCCGCGUUGGAUUAGCUAGUUGGUAGGGUAAAAGCCUACCAAGGCGACGAUCCAUAGCUGGUCUGAGAGGAUGAUCAGCCACACUGGGACUGAGACACGGCCCAGACUCCUACGGGAGGCAGCAGUGGGGGAUAUUGGACAAUGGGCGAAAGCCUGAUCCAGCAAUGCCGCGUGAGUGAUGAAGGCCUUAGAGUUGUAAAGCUCUAUUGCCCGGGAUGAUAAUGACAGUACCGUGAGAAUAAGCUCCGGCUAACUCCGUG